rnacentral:rRNA from 1 species
AUGGGUGCGCUUGCUCCUGAUACGUGGCCCAAUGGCGAUAUUCCAUUUUGGUGGGCCUUGUCGGCCUGGCGUAUCUAUGAACAAUACGUCCGUGGGCAUACAUACGGUACAAAAAACGCUCGAGGCAGAGGAGACCUUAUGGCGACGGCGGAGGAGACCGGCGACGGGCUGGAGUGUCUCUCAGAUCCGGUCGACAGGUUUCCCCUGCCGGAUCUUGAAGGCACAGAUUUCAGCCCGGAUGGCGAGGAAGAUACUAUUCUCACACAAUCGGCUGCUGAAUCAAGCAUGGGGGAUGUUGGCGAUCCGGUGCCUGCUCUCCAAUUAGCCAUCGACAGUACGUGCGAUGCACUAAUCUUACUAACGACAAAUUCGCAAUGCUCAGCUAAAGAAGAAGGCGAUGAAGCGACCGGAUGGGCAAAAAGCAGAGUUCGAGUCGGGCAAGCUCCUAUUGAACGUCCGCCUUGUGCGGGGAGGGUUUCCGCUCUUGAAAAAAGUCUCAGAGGAUAUGCAGAGAAGAAAACUGAGACAGUGGUGGUACCAGCUGUUGGAAACAGCUUUGAUUCAUUGGGAGAAGCAUACGACUACUGCAAUCUAUAUUCUUGGGAAAUAUGA